rnacentral:rRNA from 1 species
GUGCGAGGCGCAGCUACCAUGCAGUCGAGCGGUAACAGAUCCAGCUUGCUGGAUGCUGACGAGCGGCGGACGGGUGAGUAAUGCAUAGGAAUCUGCCCGAUAGUGGGGGAUAACCUGGGGAAACCCAGGCUAAUACCGCAUACGUCCUACGGGAGAAAGGGGGCUUCGGCUCCCGCUAUCGGAUGAGCCUAUGUCGGAUUAGCUAGUUGGUGAGGUAAAGGCUCACCAAGGCAACGAUCCGUAGCUGGUCUGAGAGGAUGAUCAGCCACAUCGGGACUGAGACACGGCCCGAACUCCUACGGGAGGCAGCAGUGGGGAAUAUUGGACAAUGGGGGCAACCCUGAUCCAGCCAUGCCGCGUGUGUGAAGAAGGCCCUCGGGUUGUAAAGCACUUUCAGCGAGGAAGAACGCCUAGCGGUUAAUACCCGCUAGGAAAGACAUCACUCGCAGAAGAAGCACCGGCUAACUCCGUGCCAGCAGCCGCGGUAAUACGGAGGGUGCAAGCGUUAAUCGGAAUUACUGGGCGUAAAGCGCGCGUAGGUGGCUUGAUAAGCCGGUUGUGAAAGCCCCGGGCUCAACCUGGGAACGGCAUCCGGAACUGUCAAGCUAGAGUGCAGGAGAGGAAGGUAGAAUUCCCGGUGUAGCGGUGAAAUGCGUAGAGAUCGGGAGGAAUACCAGUGGCGAAGGCGGCCUUCUGGACUGACACUGACACUGAGGUGCGAAAGCGUGGGUAGCAAACAGGAUUAGAUACCCU